UUCUUCACUGUCAUUCAUCCCCCUCCUUCUCUCUCUCUCUCUCUCUACCUGCAAGUAAUCUCACACCAACCAUUCUUCGUAUCUCCAAAAGGGCCCAAAUUAACCUCUCUCUUUCUCUAUCUGUCUGUAUAUCUAUAUCAAUCAUAUAUAUACAUACAAGUAAAUAUCACAUACCAUGUUUAAUUUGGGAGAUGAACUCAUAAUUGAAAGCUAUAGAAUACCAUGGCUCAUAUGGAUCCAGCUGUUGGUGAUGUUACUCCUCAUAAUUCUGCUCUACAUCUUCGCUUUGGAUCUCUCCCAAGACUCCUCCCAUACGGCGUCGUCUUCUGCUGCUGCUUCCACAGCUCUCCUCUCCUCCUCCAUUAUACACCGCCCAAACCUCACCACAACCCUCACAACAAGCUUAAAUCAUACCCAGGUAGGAGAAGAAACAAAAAAAGGUGAUCAUAUAGGUGGUACAAGUGCAAGUAGAAGAAGCAAAAGAAUACUAAGAGGAGAAAACAUCCAAGAAAGGGAGUGCUCUUCAACAAAGGAGGACCCAACUAAUAAUGUCACACUUAUUCAAGGGCCCUACCACCCUUGCCAUUUUCUUGGGCUAGCUACACAAGCUUUCCUCAAGUGUUUGGGAUUGGAUUCCACUUCUGAGAACCCUUCCAACACAAGACAUGGGAAAGACAGAUAAUGAAAUUUUUUACCCUCUGGGCUAGUCAAUUGAAACAAGGUGAAGGGCAAGUAUGAUGGAAACCAGGACAUUGGAAAUUGAAGAUAUUGAGGGGACAAAAUAUGCAUAUAAUACAGCCAUUUUAUGUGACUUUCAACACAUGACAUAUUAGUGUCCAUUGUAAUUUUACCAAUGACACUAAUAAACUGUAAUUUAUGCAAUGUAUAGAGUAGUUAAUUCAAUUUCUUUUC